GAUGAACGCUGGCGGCGUGCCUAAUACAUGCCAGUCGAGCGAACAGACGAGGAGCUUGCUCCUCUGACGUUAGCGGCGGACGGGUGAGUAACACGUGGAUAACCUACCUAUAAGACUGGGAUAACUUCGGGAAACCGGAGCUAAUACCGGAUAAUAUAUUGAACCGCAUGGUUCAAUAGUGAAAGACGGUUUUGCUGUCACUUAUAGAUGGAUCCGCGCCGCAUUAGCUAGUUGGUAAGGUAACGGCUUACCAAGGCAACGAUGCGUAGCCGACCUGAGAGGGUGAUCGGCCACACUGGAACUGAGACACGGUCCAGACUCCUACGGGAGGCAGCAGUAGGGAAUCUUCCGCAAUGGGCGCAAGCCUGACGGAGCAACGCCGCGUGAGUGAUGAAGGUCUUCGGAUCGUAAAACUCUGUUAUUAGGGAAGAACAAAUGUGUAAGUAACUAUGCACGUCUUGACGGUACCUAAUCAGAAAGCCACGGCUAACUACGUG
rnacentral:rRNA from 1 species